rnacentral:lncRNA from 13 species
ACGGCUACCAACAAUGGCUUCAGCAGGAAGGUAUUGAUGGUGUUGGGACCACGCCAUCCACAGAACAACAGAGCACUAAUACAGAGAGCAGAACUCCAGUCCUAUUCAUUCUGAUACCGAUCGUCCAGCCUUAGAGGGGACAGCCCUCCUAGUCAUUCUGAUACCGAUCGUUCAGCCUUGGAGAGGACAGCCCUCCUAGUCAUUCUGAUACCGAUCGUUCAGCCUUGACGAGGACAGCCCUCCUAGUCAUUCUGAUACCGAUCGUUCAGCCUUGGAGAGGACAGCCCUCCUAGUCAUUCUGAUACCGAUCGUUCAGCCUUGGAGAGGACAGCCCUCCUAGUCAUUCUGAUACCGAUCGUUCAGCCUUGACGACGACAGCCCUAGUCAUUNNNNNNNNNNCUCCCGGGUGAUUGGAGGGGGAGCGUCUGUCGUUCUCCCGGGUGAUUGGAGGGGGAGCGUCUGUUGUUCUCCCGGGUGAUUGGAGGGGAGCGCCUGUUGUACUCCCGGGUGAUUGGAGGGGAGCGCCUGUUGUACUCCCGGGUGAUUGGAGAGGAGCGCCUGUUGUUCUCUUUAUGUUCAUCCUAGCUUUGUUUUCCCUGUUUAUCUUCUUUUGAAAAAAAGGUUUCUCCCUGUCCUUUACUUUUCAUUUUAUCUUAAGUUCAUGACGUCUUCUGUAGUUUUCAUCCCCUCCCACCCCUGGUUCAGAUCCCGUCAGGCGGAGACAGAGAGGGACCAGGCAGGGGAGGAUAAUAGAAUGUUCAAACAGGAGUUUGGAGAGAAGAUAGACGCUCUACAGCUGGAGGUGGAACAUCUCAGGAAACACAGGUCAUGUUUGGAGCUGGAGCUGAGGAAAGGGAGGGGUAGUGGUGGAGGUAGCCAGUAUAUAGAGCCUGUGUCUGGGGAGAAGUUGACCUCGGCCCCCCAGAGAGACCUGGAAGACAUCCGGAAGGAACUGGAGGCAGUGAAGAAGGAGAAUCAUCAACUAUGUGCUGUGGUAGAUGACACGAGCGGUCCAGGGUCCAACAUGUCAAUGUCACAAAAUGAGGAUGAGCAGGGAGGAGGAGCCAAAGAUGGAGAGAAGAAGAAGAAGAAGGCUGCAGCGGGAGACGCUGGUGGGAAGACGGAGCUGUCCCCUCCUCCCGGGUACAUGGAGGAGCGUCUGUCCCUGUACACUAAACUGAAGGAGGAGCAUGAUGCUCUGAUGGCAGAGAGGGCAGAGAAGGACAGUAAAUCCAUCAAGGUGACUCUGCCAGAUGGGAAGGUGGUGGAGGCUGAGUCCUGGAAGACCACACCCUACCAGGUGGCUGCUGGCAUCAGUCAGGGUCUAGCUGACGCCACAGUGAUAGCUAAGGUGAACAACUCUGUGUGGGACCUGGACCGACCUCUAGAGGAAAACUGCAGUCUGCAGCUGCUCAAGUUUGAUGACGACGAGGCUAAAGCUGUGUACUGGCACUCCAGUGCCCACAUAAUGGGUGAGGCAAUGGAGAGGGUCUACGGAGGCUGCUUGUGUUACGGUCCGCCCAUCGAGAACGGCUUCUACUACGACAUGUUCCUGGACCAAGAGGGGGUGUCCAGUAAUGACUUCCCCUGCUUGGAGAACUUGUGUAAGAAGAUCAUCAAGGAGAAGCAGCCCUUCGAGAGGCUGGAGAUCAAGAAGGAGACUCUCCUGGAGAUGUUCAAGUACAACAAAUUUAAGUGCCGGAUCUUGAAUGAGAAGGUGACCACCCCAACCACUACUGUGUACAGGUGUGGUCCGCUGAUUGACCUGUGCCGAGGACCCCAUGUCCGACACACUGGAAAGAUCAAGGCCCUGAAGAUCCACAAGAACUCCUCUACCUACUGGGAGGGCAAGGCUGACAUGGAGACUCUUCAGAGGAUCUACGGCAUCUCCUUCCCUGAUCCUAAGAUGCUAAAGGAGUGGGAACGCUUCCAGGAGGAGGCCAAGAACAGGGACCACCGCAAACUGGGACGGGUACGGGACUGUUAUUCAAAUCACUCAAAUGGUAUUUGUCAAAUGCUUCUUAAACAACAGUCAAUCAAUCAAAUGUUAUUUAUACAGCAGUUUUUACAGAAACAUUGUGGAAAUAUUGUCGGGGAACAGCAGGAGAUUACUGGGAAAAUUGUGUGGUGUUGUCUUUUCCUCAACCUCCAGAUUGAGGAGGAGAUUAAGGGUUGUCUGGACUUCCUGCGUACAGUCUACGACUGUUUUGGUUUCUCCUUCAAACUCAACCUGUCCACCCGGCCUGAGAAGUUCCUGGGAGAGCCUGCGGUCUGGGAUCAGGCUGAGAAGCAACUGGAGAACAGUCUGAAUGAGUUUGGCGAGAAGUGGGUCCUCAACCCUGGAGACGGGGCCUUCUACGGACCGAAGAUUGACAUCCAGAUCAAGGAUGCUAUUGGUCGAUACCACCAGUGUGCCACCAUCCAGCUGGACUUCCAGCUACCAAUCCGCUUCAACCUCACCUUUGUCAGCCAUGAUGGAGACGAUAAGCAGAGGCCAGUCAUCAUCCACAGAGCCAUCCUGGGAUCAGUAGAGAGGAUGAUCGCUAUCCUCACUGAGAACUACGGAGGGAAAUGGCCGCUGUGGCUGUCUCCUCGUCAGGUGAUGGUGGUACCUGUAGGACCCACACUGGAUGACUAUAAGAACACAUUUAUUAUGAAAUUUACAGGCAAAUCAUUACGGAAUCAUAGUCUCUCAGCCUUUGUGGGAGAGAAGGAGAAGACCAGCGAGACGGUGAACGUGCGUACUCGUGACAACAAGGUGCACGGAGAACGCAGCGUCAAUGAGUGUAUGGAGCGUCUCAAACAGCUGAAGGCCUCACGCAGCCGCAACGCGGAGGAGGAAUUCUGA